rnacentral:lncRNA from 1 species
UUGUCACGUCAACGCCAUUAUAAAAUAAAAUUAUCCAAAAACUGUCUUCAAUGAUAACCAUUCCCUUUUCCAACAUAUUUACAAUGACACCCUCCUAUCCACAUCUUAUUUACUACGACAUGCCACUCAACAUUAACGCUUUCAAAUUACCAACCACAUGCAUUUUCCUAACCUCCUUCCUACAAUAACUUUUACCACCAACCACCACCGGUGAAUACUCAAACCCUAACAAACUCUCACAGUUAAACUCACCGUUACCGUCACCGUAAUGCCUCAUCUCCGUUAAUUUCAACGGGUUCGUCGUUCGUUUAUACGAUCCUAACCAUUUCGUUUGCAUGUAACCGUUUUUUCUCCACGGUGAAACCACAAUGUUUCUAGCUUUUAAAGAGUCUCGCAUCGCGGCGCACAUUAGCCUCACCAGUUUCUUCAACUCGUUUGGUUUGAUUACUGUGAUUUUAGGUAUUAUUUCGAGCAAGGACUGGUAGGUUUUUGUUGGUCGUGCGAUUGUGAAUUCGGAUACGAACGCUGGAUCGAUGAUGUAGCGGUUGCUGGAGAUUAGAAUGUCGAUGUAUUCGUACUCGCCGGCGGGAUACCGUACGGUUUUCUCCCAUCGUGACUUGCAGAGACCUCAUCAAAUCCUCUCUGACGAAGUACGGUCAUCAGAUUCCGUUUAAACCCCUCCGACGAAGUAUUUUCAAAACUCCGGCAUACUUUUUCCACCUCGAAACCAAUCGCACGCUUCAUACGGUCAUCGUCAUCAUCCGUACAACCGCCGAUGAGAUCCAUCAACAUUUCCUUCACGUCAGAAUCCGUACCGUAAAAACUCUCCGCCUUCUGAUACUCCUCCGUCUCUUCCAGAUCAUCGUGUUCAAUGCAGGAUUUACCUCGAUCAUUAUCAUCAUCUUCUCCGUCGAAAAACGAGUCAACUAGAACUGAAAGAUCUGUGACUGAGUUCGCGGAAUGCUCGCUUCCACUGCUCUGGCAUAACCGUGCCCUAGCGUCGUCAUCUAAAGCCGUUGUUAUCCUCUUGAAUCUCACCGCCAUUUUCUCUGAAUUUCUUUUAUAACUCGAACUUGAGAACUCA